rnacentral:rRNA from 1 species
UUGAACGCUGGCGGCAUGCCUUACACAUGCAAGUCGAACGGUAACAGGUCUUCGGAUGCUGACGAGUGGCGAACGGGUGAGUAAUACAUCGGAACGUGCCCGACCGUGGGGGAUAACGCAGCGAAAGCUGUGCUAAUACCGCAUACGAUCUACGGAUGAAAGCGGGGGACUCGCAAGAGCCUGGCGCGGACGGAGCGGCCGAUGGCAGAUUAGGUAGUUGGUGGGAUAAAAGCUUACCAAGCCGACGAUCUGUAGCUGGUCUGAGAGGACGACCAGCCACACUGGGACUGAGACACGGCCCAGACUCCUACGGGAGGCAGCAGUGGGGAAUUUUGGACAAUGGGCGAAAGCCUGAUCCAGCCAUGCCGCGUGCAGGAUGAAGGCCUUUGGGUUGUAAACUGCUUUUGUACGGAACGAAAAGACUCCUUCUAAUAAAGGGGGUUCAUGACGGUACUGUAAGAAUAAGCACCGGCUAACUACGU